rnacentral:tRNA from 1 species
GCCCGGGUGGUGAAACUGGUAGACACAAGGGACUUAAAAUCCCUCGGCUUAGGCUAUACGGGUUCGAUUCCCGUCUCGGGCACCA